AACGAACGCUGGCGGCGUGCCUAACACAUGCAAGUCGAACGAGAAAGGGGCUUCGGCUCCGAGUAAAGUGGCGCACGGGUGAGUAACACGUGGGUAACCUGCCUCUAAGAUUGGGAUAACUCGUCGAAAGAUGAGCUAAUACCGAAUAAGACCACAGUUCCCGCGGGAACAGGGGUCAAAGGUAGCCUCUGCUUGCAAGCUAUCACUUAGAGAUGGGCCUGCGCACCAUUAGCUAGUUGGUAGGGUAACGGCCUACCAAGGCAAAGAUGGUUAUCUGGUCUGAGAGGAUGAUCAGCCACACUGGAACUGAGACACGGUCCAGACUCCUACGGGAGGCAGCAGUGGGGAAUAUUGCGCAAUGGGCGAAAGCUUGACGCAGCAACGCCGCGUGAGUGAUGAAGGCCUUCGGGUCGUAAAGCUCUGUCGGGAGGAACAAAUGCUCCUGAGGUUAACAGCCUCGGGAGGUGACGGUACCUUCAAAGGAAGCACCGGCUAACUCUGUG
rnacentral:rRNA from 1 species